rnacentral:rRNA from 1 species
AUAGAAAUGUUGAAUAAUACCCCAUACGAUCAUUAAUCUGCAUGGAUUGAUGAGGAAAGUUCCGGCGGUAGAAGAUGGGCAUGCGUCCUAUUAGUUAGUUGGUAAGGUAACGGCUUACCAAGACGUCGAUAGGUAGGGGUCCUGAGAGGGAGAUCCCCCACACUGGUACUGAGACACGGACCAGACUCCUACGGGAGGCAGCAGUGAGGAAUAUUGGACAAUGGAGGCAACUCUGAUCCAGCCAUGCCGCGUGCAGGAAGACGGCCCUAUGGGUUGUAAACUGCUUUUAUACAGGAAGAAUAGUACCUACGUGUAGGUAUUUGACGGUACUGUACGAAUAAGGAUCGGCUAACUCCGUGCCAGCAGCCGCGGUAAUACGGAGGAUCCAAGCGUUAUCCGGAAUCAUUGGGUUUAAAGGGUCCGUAGGCGGUCUGAUAAGUCAGAGGUGAAAUCCUGCAGCUCAACUGUAGCAUUGCCUUUGAUACUGUUAGACUUGAGUUAUUGUGAAGUAGUUAGAAUGUGUGGUGUAGCGGUGAAAUGCAUAGAUAUCACACAGAAUACCGAUUGCGAAGGCAGA